rnacentral:rRNA from 1 species
AUUGAACGCUGGCGGCAGGCCUAACACAUGCAAGUCGAGCGGAUGACGGGAGCUUGCUCCUUGACUCAGCGGCGGACGGGUGAGUAAUGCCUAGGAAUCUGCCUGGUAGUGGGGGACAACGUUUCGAAAGGAACGCUAAUACCGCAUACGUCCUACGGGAGAAAGCAGGGGACCUUCGGGCCUUGCGCUAUCAGAUGAGCCUAGGUCGGAUUAGCUAGUUGGGGGGGUAAUGGCUCACCAAGGCGACGAUCCGUAACUGGUCUGAGAGGAUGAUCAGUCACACUGGAACUGAGACACGGUCCAGACUCCUACGGGAGGCAGCAGUGGGGAAUAUUGGACAAUGGGCGAAAGCCCGAUCCAGCCAUGCCGCGUGUGUGAAGAAGGUCUUCGGAUUGUAAAGCACUUUAAGUUGGGAGGAAGGGCAGUAAGCGAAUACCUUGCUGUUUUGACGUUACCGACAGAAUAAGCACCGGCUAACUCUGUGCCAGCCGCCGCGGUAAAAC